rnacentral:lncRNA from 1 species
AAAAACUUUAAAAGUUUAUUAUCCAUACAAAAUAAUAGUUUUGUAUAAUUGAUAAGAAACAAUCUUCUGGGAAGGCUGAAAAACUGGCUGAGAGACCUAACCCAGAUUAAAAGUUCACCCAGGGGCCAGGGUUUAGCUCAGUGGUUCUGGUGCCUGUCUCCCAAGCGCAAGGUCUCAAGGUGGAUCCCUGGCCAAAAAAAAAAAAAAAAAAGAAAAAGUUCACCCUAUCACUAAAAGCAUGUUCCCUCAGGGAGAGAACAGUUCUGCUGUGACACUUGGAUACUUCCUAAAUGUGUGAAAUUUUUAGAAUUAAAGUAAUAAAACACUUAAGACAGCAGUUAAACCAAAACUUUAACUCACUUAAGGAGAUAAACUAAGCAAAGAAACAAACUUCUUGAAGAUCUUUCUAUCCUGAAUAUGCUAGGAUCUCAAAAACCCAUCAGAAACCCCUCCACUGUCAGUUCUAAAGAACAAAGAAUAGUGCUGGGGAACCCUCAUUCUGAAGCCUUCACAGAUAAGGGGCCACAGAGCACUUUAGUUAUGUGAUAAGGACUUGUAAGUGAAAGUCACUUUUUAAUAGGUCUCCCGCAAAUACCUCAAAUAAAGAGUUCAUAUUUAAAAAAUAUUUUUUUAAAAAGGGCCUCACACACAUUUGAACAGCUUCCAGUUAUUUCUGGCAUUCUCUUGGCAGUGUCCAGUAUCAGCAUAAGUUCUGAAGGGGCUGGGGACACCUCCUCGCGACUCUAUGGUCGAGGCACUUGUAGCCAUCAUCUCAGUCACCAGCCAACCAGGGAGCAGUGAGAUCUGAUGAGCCUGAAGGACCUGCACAGCUCAUACGACUGCAGGGAACAGUAUGCUUGCUUGAUUCUUUUAAUUAUCUUGGAAUCGAUUAUCUUCAAUGAUAAUGGUUCUUCUAGGAUAGGAUUCCACUUCCACAAAUAUGUACCAAAAUUCAUAUUCACCAUUCUUUGGAUUCUGUAAUGCUGAUUCCAAUGAGUACCACUAUUAAGUAGGUGAAAUCUUUUCCAGCAUCUUUCACUUUCUGAGUCGUUGGCAUAGCGGUUUUCCCUCUCUGACCUCUGUGCACAGAUACUUGCUUGCCGCUGUCCUCUGCUUUCUGGGAUCACGGUCCCUGCGUCCAGGUAGUUUUCUGGGGCACUUCAAAGAUAGAUCCAGGUCACACCAUUUUCUUCUGCUCUCGAAGCCCCCAUCUCAAACUGGGCUCAGUCGUAAAGCAAGCUUUAUUAAGCGCAAAGUGCAGCAACAACAAUCGUCUCCCAGAGGAUCUGUGCAGAUUUUCUGC